GAUGGUCGAGAGGCAAGCACACUUGACUUUCACUCAAAAGUCUCGGGUUCGAACCCCAGCCCUGGCA